rnacentral:rRNA from 1 species
ACGUAGGCGGCAAGCGUUGUCCGGAAUUAUUGGGCGUAAAGGGAGCGCAGGCGGGAAACUAAGCGGAUCUUAAAAGUGCGGGGCUCAACCCCGUGAUGGGGUCCGAACUGGUUUUCUUGAGUGCAGGAGAGGAAAGCGGAAUUCCCAGUGUAGCGGUGAAAUGCGUAGAUAUUGGGAAGAACACCAGUGGCGAAGGCGGCUUUCUGGACUGUCACUGACGCUGAGGCUCGAAAGCUAGGGUAGCCAACGG